rnacentral:lncRNA from 1 species
AAAGUUGCGUAUUACAGAUCCUUGUGGUCGAUCUUUCUUUGAAUUUUGUGCGUAACAGAAACUUUAGUGCAUCGGGCUGACCUUUUAACGACGCGGGAUUCUGAAGCCUAACUUCAUAAUGAGGUUUGACAUUUGAAUAGGAAGUAACUGAAGUUAGGCUUGGCGGUCUCGAACUUUAAACCUAUGAAACUAAAGUAUCAGGUCUGACAUUUGAAUAGGAGUUGGAAUUCAGGCAAGUAUCUGAAGUUAGGCUUGGUGGUCUCGAGUUAGGUUUGGUAGUAUCUAAAGUUAGGCUUGGUGGUCUCAAACUUCAAACCUAUGAAACCUAAAGUAUCAGGUCUGACAUUUGAGUAGGAGUUGGAAUUCAGGCAAGUAUCUGAAGUUAGGCUUGGUGGUUUCGAGCUAGGUUUGGUAGUAUCUGAAGUUAGGCUUAGUGGUCUUGAGUUAGGUUUGGUGGUCUCAAACUUCGAACCUAUGAAACUAAAGUAUCAGGUCAAGUAUCUGAAGUUAGGCUUGGUGGUUUCGAGUUGGGUUUGGUAGUAUCUGAAGUUAGGCUUGGUGGUUUCAAGUUAGGUUUGGUGGUCUCAAACUUCAAACCUAUGAAACUAAAGUAUCAGGUCUGACAUUUGAGUAGGAGUUGGAAUUCAGGAAGUUGUGCGUGAAGUUAGGCUUGAUGGGGUCUCAAACUCCAGACCUACGAUACUAAAGUUUGAAAACUUUAAGCUCAAACGUCUGAAAUUGAGCAUCGUCAAAUCUACCUUCACACUCAAGUCACGAAACUCCAAAUCUACGAUACUAAAAUUCAAAAACUUUAAGAUCAAACGUCUGAAAUUGAGGAUCGUCAAAUCUAACUUCACAUUCAACUGUUUGAAGUUGGCAUUGCUAUUGGGGAAACUCUAUUGCAG